rnacentral:rRNA from 1 species
UUAAAUUAAAUAUAGCUUAAAAAAGUUUACCCGAAGUAAAAAGAGCUAACUAUAAAUUAUAGUAAUUUUAGCCUACUACUCUGAUCUUUAGUGUAGCAAAACUAAUACGAAAAAUUAUAGUUAGGGGUGAAAGGCUUACCAAUUUUUAUUUAUAUCUGGAUGGGACCCAAAAGUAUGUAGUAUUAGAAAACAGACUUAUAGUGAUAAGGUUAUAAGUAUGGAAAAUUUUUCAACACAUUAUGGUAUACCCCGUUUUAUUAAUAUAAAACCGAGUACUUCCUUAAAAAAUAAGUUAUGAAAUAAUAUUUCUAAAACUAGGUUCGACAAGUAAGAAUUAAAACAAAAUCUAAGACUUAAAUAAUGUUUAAAUGAGUAUAGUUAAUCAAAAAAUAGUAAGGAACUCGGCAAAUGUAUGCCUUCAACUGUUUAUCAAAAACAUAGCCACAUGAUAUUUUAAUAUCUGGUGACUUCUGCCCAGUGAAUUUUUUUAACGGCCGCAGUACACUGACUGUGCAAAGGUAGCAUAAUAAUUUGGCUUUUAAUUGAAGUCGGGAAUGAAUGAAGUAAUGGGGGUGAGCUAUCUAAAUAUUUUUUACUAAAAUUUACUUAAGAAGUGAAAAUUCUUCUGUGAUACAAUAAAAGACGAGAAGACCCUAUAAAUUUUUAUUAAAAAGAAACUUUGUACCUCUUUAAAUUUUUGUUGGGGCAACAUAUUAUCAGUUAUUAUAUUAAAAUACUUGAAAUAAUAGUUCAAUUAAAUGUAACGAAUUUAUAUUAAUCACAAAGAAAUUACUUUAGGGAUAACAGCAUAAUUAUAUUAUAUAGUUUGUGACCUCGAUGUUGGAUUAGGGUUUAGUUAAAUCAACCAUUUAAUUAGUACGGUUCUGUUCGAACCUUUUCCCCU